rnacentral:rRNA from 1 species
GUUAAAAAGCUCGUAGUUGGAUUUCUGUGAGAGUAUGAUGUCCUAACGUGUUUAGAGCGCAGAAAACUCUUGCAUCCUUCUGUUACCUCCACGUGGCAUUCGCUUGCCAGUGGUUGGCUCAGAGAAUUUACCUUGAGAAAAUUAGAGUGUUUCAGGCAGGCUUAGUCGGAAUACAUUAGCAUGGAAUAAUAGAAUAGGACUCCGGUCUCGUUGUUGGUUUGAGGGACUGUAGUAAUGAUUAAUAGGGAUAGUUGGGGGCAUUAGUAUUCGGUUGUCAGAGGUGAAAUUCUCAGAUUUAUUGAAGACUAACUUAUGCGAAAGCAUUUGCCAAGGAUGUUUUCAUUAAUCAAGAACGAAAGUUAGGGGAUCAAAGACGAUCAGAUACCGUCCUAGUCUUAACCAUAAACUAUGCCGACUCGGGAUUGGGGGCGUGUUAUUAUCCGCCUUCAGCACCGUAAUGAGAAAUCAAAGUNUUUGGGUUCUGGGGGGAGUAUG